UCAGUCGGCCGGACGGCCGCUCCCGCUCCGGCCGAAAGGCUUCCGGGAGAGGAAAGUCCGGGCUCCAUCGACAUGCGGUGCCGGAUAACAUCCGGCGGGGGCGACCCCAGGGACAGUGCCACAGAGAACGAACCGCCUUCUCUCCGGGGAAGGCAAGGGUGAAAAGGUGCGGUAAGAGCGCACCGCAUCUUCGGCAACGGAGAUGGCAUGGUAAACCCCACCGGGAGCAAAACCGAAUAGGGACAGCAUCGCGAAAGGUUCGCUUCGGCGAUAACAUCGCAGGGCCGUGUCGGGCCCGCUGUCCGGGUAGGUCGCAGGAGGCGACGUGCAAACGUUGCCCCAGAGGAAUGGCCGUCACGUAUCGUGUGCGCAGGCACGCGAUGCCCUACAGAACCCGGCUUACAGGCCGGCUGAUAUG
rnacentral:RNase_P_RNA from 2 species